rnacentral:lncRNA from 1 species
GUGCCAUAGGUCAAAAGUGACACAAAGAUGAAAAUAACCAGAAGUACUUGUGGCACCAUAAACUAGGCCAUAUUGGAGAGGAUAGGAUAAACAGACUGGAGAAGGAUGAGAUCUUUGGCUCUCUUAACCCAGAGUCAUAUCCAACUUGUGAAUCUUGUCUUCGAGAAAAAAUGGUCAAGUUAUCUUUUGUAGGAUAUGGGGAAA